UACGUAGGGUGCAAGCGUUAAUCGGAAUUACUGGGCGUAAAGCGUGCGCAGGCGGUUUUGUAAGCCAGACGUGAAAUCCCCGGGCUUAACCUGGGAACUGCGUUUGGAACUGCAAGGCUAGAGUGCGGCAGAGGAAGGUGGAAUUCCUGGUGUAGCAGUGAAAUGCGUAGAUAUCAGGAGGAACACCAAUGGCGAAGGCAGCCUUCUGGGCUAGCACUGACGCUCAUGCACGAAAGCGUGGGGAGCAAACAGGAUUAGAUACCCUGGUAGUCCACGCCCUAAACUAUGACGACUAGUUGUUGGGGAUUUAACAUCCUUAGUAACGCAGCUAACGCGUGAAGUCGUCCGCCUGGGGAGUACGGUCGCAAGAUUA
rnacentral:rRNA from 1 species